rnacentral:rRNA from 2 species
CCGAAAAGAAAAAGGGGGUGGCAGCGUUAUCCGGAUUAUUGGGCGUAAAGCCGCGCGCAGGUGGUUUCUUAAGUCUGAUGUGAAAGCCCACGGCUCAACCGUGGAGGGUCAUUGGAAACUGGGAGACUUGAGUGCAGAAGAGGAAAGUGGAAUUCCAUGUGUAGCGGUGAAAUGCGUAGAGAUAUGGAGGAACACCAGUGGCGAAGGCGACUUUCUGGUCUGUAACUGACACUGAGGCGCGAAAGCGUGGGGAGCAAACAGGAUUAGAUACCCUGGUAGUCCACGCCGUAAACGAUGAGUGCUAAGUGUUAGAGGGUUUCCGCCCUUUAGUGCUGAAGUUAACGCAUUAAGCACUCCGCCUGGGGAGUACGGCCGCAAGGCUGAAACUCAAGGGGAAUUGACGGGGGCCCCCACAAAGAAGUGAAACAUGUGUUUAAUUCAACUUGCGAAAACCUUACCGGUCUUGACUCCUCGACA